AGGUACUAUUUCUGGGUUAGCGGAGUCUGUAACCUGAAGCGCCUGUCACCUGAAGCAUCUGUAACCUGAGGUACCACUGUACAGAGAUUUCUCCAAAUCCCAGGACUUCCCCUCCCCCUCCGUAGAGUCCCAUUUUAAACAUUUUAAACUGCAUCUUCCUCCAAACUCUAACUUUUGUAUCAAUCCAUAUUGUCCAUGGUAAUUGUUAUACGACAAGUGGAAUCAGAAUCCUGCCAAUGUUUCCAUUUGCUUACAAUGGUCUCUUCGAUAACUCAUACGUUUUCCCCAUUCUUUUGUAAAGUUUUUGUCCUCUUGGUUCCUGAGUUUUCCAGUAAGCUUUGCCAUUUCGGCGUAGUCCAUCAGCUUGGUUUGCCAUUCCUCUCUGGUAGGGACCUUGUCUUCUUUCCAUCUCUGGGAUAGUAGCAUCCAGGUGGCUGUUGUUCCGUGCAUAAAAAGUCUUUUCUGAUCCUUUGGGAUGUCAGUACCUGUAAUUCCUAAUAAAAAAGCUUCUUUUUU